GUCGGGAUGGCCGAGCUGGCUAAGGCUCUGCGUUCAGGUCGCAGUCUACCUGGAGGCGUGGGUUCGAAUCUGUUGCGGAAA
rnacentral:tRNA from 1 species